UACGGGGGGGGCAAGCGUUGUUCGGAAUUACUGGGCGUAAAGGGCUCGUAGGUGGCCAACUAAGUCAGACGUGAAAUCCCUCGGCUUAACCGGGGAACUGCGUCUGAUACUGGAUGGCUUGAGUUUGGGAGAGGGACGCGGAAUUCCACGUGUAGCGGUGAAAUGCGUAGAGAUGUGGAGGAACACCAGUGGCGAAGGCGACUCUUUGGCCUGUAACUGACACUGAGGCGCGAAAGCGUGGGGAGCAAACAGG
rnacentral:rRNA from 1 species